CUCCUCCCAGGAAGUUGGGGGCCCCAGCCUCCCCCUACCUGAGUCACCAGCCCUGGGAUGCUCCCGUCAAGGCACAGUUACCUCCGAGACCCGGGGAGGCAAAGCAAGAAAGAUCAGCAAUUACUACAAGAACCUAAUGGUUACUGGAGGCACAAGAUGGAAUGAGCCUAGAUCCUGGAAUCACUGUGUGGAGGAAGGCCAUUAUGAAACACGAAUAUUCCUUUAUUGUGUCAUAAAAUCCUCAUUUCAGAGGGGUCUUGCCCCAUGCCCUGGAGGAAGGAAUGCUGCACAGAAAGGCUAAGAAGAAUCUGAACAGACAGGCCUUGCUGGGUUUCCCCACUCAGUCUAUUAGUAUUAGAUUAUACCCUUUUUGUCUAUCACAUUUCUACACAUUUGUCCUUAUACCAAUCAUGUCUAUCCAACGAAGUCUCCAUAAAAGCCCAAGAGGAGGGGUUUGGGGGAGUUUCUGAACAGCUCAACUCAUAGGAAGGUGAACAAAAACUCAUCCACGUGCCCAGAGGAUGUUGUACCCCAACUCCACAAGAAUGGAAGCUCCUGUUCUUAGGAUUCUUCCAGACCUCGCCCCAUAUAAUCCCUUCA